rnacentral:rRNA from 1 species
CCUACGGGAGGCAGCAGUGAGGAAUAUUGGUCAAUGGACGAGAGUCUGAACCAGCCAAGUAGCGUGAAGGAUGACUGCCCUAUGGGUUGUAAACUUCUUUUAUAUGGGAAUAAAACGUUCCACGUGUGGGAUUUUGUAUGUACCAUAUGAAUAAGGAUCGGCUAACUCCGUGCCAGCAGCCGCGGUAAUACGGAGGAUCCGAGCGUUAUCCGGAUUUAUUGGGUUUAAAGGGAGCGUAGGUGGAUUGUUAAGUCAGUUGUGAAAGUUUGCGGCUCAACCGUAAAAUUGCAGUUGAAACUGGCAGUCUUGAGUACAGUAGAGGUGGGCGGAAUUCGUGGUGUAGCGGUGAAAUGCUUAGAUAUCACGAAGAACUCCGAUUGCGAAGGCAGUUCACUGGACUGCAACUGACACUGAGGCUCGAAAGCGUGGGUAUCAAACAGGAUUAGAUACCCCAGUAGUC